rnacentral:misc_RNA from 1 species
AGAACUGGAAUUAACGGAAAUUAGGCUGUAACGGCGGUAAAAACGGGUGAACUACGAAGAGAGGGGGAAAUUUGAAUAAAAUUGAAAUCGAUCAGGAAUAAAAAGAAGAGAAUAAACAAUAUAAAAAGAGGAGGAAGAAAGAGGGAGAAACAGAAGGCGCGAAGAAACAGGCGACGGACUUCUUAUUUUCGGGCAGCCGUAAAAACGACUGCGAAAUAAACGCCGUCGUACCUGACGUUGUGUUGUGCUGUUCUCUCUCUACACGUUGACAACCCCGCCACCUCGACGCGCGAUUACUACUGCCAAAAUGGAAGAGCAAAGCGUGCACAGCAGUACCAGUGAUAUAAAUAGUGAAGAGGCGGCCGCCACCGAACCUCUGAUCAUACCGAGAAAAAAACGAAUAUGUCUCGUCGGAAGUACAGGAGAAGAUCCGGCCCUUGGAGCUGCUGCUCAACAGUUCAGCGUUCCUGUACUGAAGUCAGAACAAGGGACGGAGUACGUCGAAGACACAACUUACUGCACCUAUUACAUACUAAGCAAAUUCGAGGGAGCAGAUUACGACACUCUCCACAAAACAGCUCACAGAAUACUAGGACCAACGGCGCUUCUCCAGCUGGCGGAGAAGAAAGAGUCCCUGCCAAGUAUCAACAGGCCGAUGUAUACCCAAUCGAUGCUGGGAACGAUUGUUGUUUUCACCGGUUUUAGAAAAAAGGAAGAAUUGACCAGACUGAUAAACAUGAUUCACAACAUGGGUGGCAGCAUAAGGAAGGAUAUGGGAAACAAAGUGACACACCUUAUUGCCAAUUGCUGUGGGGGAGACAAAUACAGGUAUGCCAUUACCUUUAGGAUUCCAAUUAUGUCCUCGGAUUGGGUGCUUGAACUUUGGAAUGCGAGGGACGACGUUGCGAGCAGCAGUUCCAACGACAAACUGAUCGCAGAUUACAAACUUAAGCCAUUCUUUGGAGCAAAGGUGUGUUUCUUCGGUUUUCCCGACGACGAAAAGACGCACAUGUACGAAGUGCUUCAGCAACAAGGCGGGGAACCGGCUGAAAUCGACGAUCCAAACUGCACGCAUGUGGUGACUAACAAAGAUGGCGGCCAGACGAGUACUUUGGAUAAAUCGAGAGCCUCUUGGUAUCGAUCAUACUCAAAACAAGAGUUUAGAUCGCUGACCUCUGAAAGAUCAUGUGAGAUUGAAUCAAGCCAGAACUUUUCAUUUGUCUAUUACAAUCCUUACACAAACGAGAAAAUACCAAACUCUUAUCCGAGUUCAAUAUCUUCAAUACAUUCGCAGCGCUGUUGCAACUGCCUCUGUCAUUUUUGCUUUUGCAAUUACAACUGCGAAAAAAAUUCAACCAUGGUGAGGCGCAAAAGGCGGGCUGAUGAUUCUUCGUCUUCGCCUCGAGAUGAUUCGACAAUGGAAAAAUUCUGCGCGACAGGAUUUCCCAAAACCUCAAAACAUUGCCAGCGACAUCGCGCGCCCAAACAUCCUCGAUAUGAUUCUGCCAUAUCUUUGAACGACAGUUCAAUCGACGGAGGCGGAAAUUAUCAUUCGGAUGACUCUGGUUAUUCGGCAUUGAAUUCUUUGGGAUCAAGCAUGUUGAAUUUGACCCAACUCUCUCUUUCUCAGGUUUUUGAUAAUCCCACCAAUCUUAGUUUCGCCUCGUUUCGUUCUCCAUCUCGGAUUUUUUCCACUGUAAAAAAUUUGUCCAAGCAGUCUAGAAGAUUUCUUACUCCCAGGCGAUAUGUUUUAUUGAAAAGACACAGCUCUUGUGUCUCUGAAUCGAAACAAACUGCGAGGCUCUAUUCGAAUCAGAAUAAAAAAAUCUUCAGAAUCUAUUCCCACCCAAAUUUAUCCCGGAAUUCUUGCUCCGAGGAAUCGCCCCCGCUAUUACGGAAGAACAACAGUUUUUCAAGUCUACGUGACAUUGGCAACAAUUCUUAUACCUCUUGGGCUUUCAAUGUCUACCCUAAACGGGAUACAAUUCAGAAAAAUUCUUGCUGCUGCUGUUGCAGCAGAGAACGAUAUCUUGUGAAUUAUUUUCGUCGUAUGUUUGGCAUAAAAUUCUAUUCUGGUCUAUUUGAAUCAAAAUCAAGUCUGCGAAAUGGGGGUGCGAAAUGCACAAGCUCGGUUCCAUCAGCAUUCAGCUAUUCAAAUGACCUUAAAAAUCGGGCAAACGAAGCUGGCGAAAAAACGAAGAGGGAUCACGAGAAGCCAGACAAUUCGGUCGUGGAUGAAUCCAACGUCAAUUCGCUGCCUGACUUGGCCUCUGUGAGAGCCCACAUAGUAAAGGCUGAAUGGUUUUGGACCUCGGUCCAAAAUGAAGGCGCCGCAUAUGAGAAAGAUUACCUCUUCGAAGAUUAUUUGGAGUCUGUAAUGUCCCCGAUGGCGAUGGCGAGGAGGGACAGUCAGGCAGCAACGCCUAGAACCGCUUCGACGAAAAGAAAGCGCAAGAGAAUGGCCGAAACUUUAUGUAGUCUGGUACAAAACGGUGCUGAUUCGCCGGCAGUUCAUAAACGACGGUCGAGUAUCAGUGACGCUGGUCAUCUCAGCGUAAGCGGCAGCUUUCUUGACUGCACUUCGAGUCCCGACAAACAAUUGGAUGCAAUUCCAGAGGUUGAAGCGGUGAGCACAGAAGCGGGAAGGAAAAAUCUCUCGCCUAGGCAUCAAGUUUUCCUUGAGCUAGUUACAACGGAGUCAAACUACGUGGGAAUCCUCAGUACGAUUAUGACGCUGUUCAAAGAACCGCUUGAGGACUUGAUUGAAAUGAGCGGCGAAUUGUUGAACAGCACCGAAGCGAAGAUAAUAUUUGGCAACUUUCCACCGAUUUACGAAGUGCAUAAAAAGAUGCUCGAGGAGCUCAGGUAUAACGCUUCUCACUGGGCAGAAGACGUCAGCAUAGGGAAUAUAUUUUUAAAGUACGCGCCUGACUUGGUCAAGGCAUAUCCGCCGUACGUUAAUUUCUUCGAGAAUACAAAGGAAAUGCUCGAUCAAUGCGAUCAGAACAAACCGCGCUUUCACGCCUUCCUCAAAAUAUGCCAAACCAAGCCCGAAUGUGGCAGGCAGAGCCUUAAGGAACUUCUUAUCAAGCCUGUUCAGAGGCUACCCAGUAUUAGCUUAUUGUUAAACGAUAUUCUUAAGCACACAAGUAAAAGCAAUCCUGACCACAGUGCGUUGGAAUUGUCGAUAAGUAGUAUAAAAGAAGUAAUGACUUAUAUAAACGAGGACAAGAGAAAAACGGAAGGACAAUUAGUGAUGUUUGACAUAUUUAACGACAUUGAUAAUUGCCCAGCUCAUUUAGUAUCUUCACAUCGUUCUUUCAUUGGCAAAUGCGAAGUGAUGGAAUUGGGCGAAGGUUUGAGCGGGCGAGGCGAUCAUCUCGUCCUGUUCCUCUUCACCGACACUUUGGAAAUAUGCAAGAAACGCUCAAAAGCUUUCAAUUCCCUGAAAAGUCCGAAGGAAGCCAAUGGUCUUCAUCCCACUAAACUUAGCCAAGGAAAACCGUACAAACAUAUAAGAAUGCUCUCCCUUAGCACGAUAAAAAAGGUCGUCGAUAUUCGCGAAACUGACGGACACAUUUUUAAUCAGUUUGGAUUCUCAUCAGCUUGAAAUUGACACGAGCGACGUAGCCUUAGGAACUUUAAGUAAAGCAUUUAAGAGCCUAUUUCAUAACUUUUACCUGGAGUAUAUGGACCCGUUUGCUUCACGUACAAGGAUGAAAGUCGGAAGGGCAUUUAGCUUUAACAAAACGCCGAGUAAAUUGAAGAGGGCAAUGUCGACGAUGAUGUCGCCGU